GGCGGCAGGCCUAACACAUGCAAGUCGAACGGUAACAGGAAUCAGCUUGCUGAUUCGCUGACGAGUGGCGGACGGGUGAGUAAUGUCUGGGAAACUGCCUGAUGGAGGGGGAUAACUACUGGAAACGGUAGCUAAUACCGCAUAACGUCGCAAGACCAAAGAGGGGGACCUUCGGGCCUCUUGCCAUCGGAUGUGCCCAGAUGGGAUUAGCUAGUAGGUGGGGUAAAGGCUCACCUAGGCGACGAUCCCUAGCUGGUCUGAGAGGAUGACCAGCCACACUGGAACUGAGACACGGUCCAGACUCCUACGGGAGGCAGCAGUGGGGAAUAUUGCACAAUGGGCGCAAGCCUGAUGCAGCCAUGCCGCGUGUAUGAAGAAGGCCUUCGGGUUGUAAAGUACUUUCAGCGGGGAGGAAGGGAGUAAAGUUAAUACCUUUGCUCAUUGACGUUACCCGCAGAAGAAGCACCGGCUAACUCCGUGCCAGCAGCCGCGGUAAUACGGAGGGUGCAAGCGUUAAUCGGAAUUACUGGGCGUAAAGCGCACGCAGGCGGUUUGUUAAGUCAGAUGUGAAAUCCCCGGGCUCAACCUGGGAACUGCAUCUGAUACUGGCAAGCUUGAGUCUCGUAGAGGGGGGUAGAAUUCCAGGUGUAGCGGUGAAAUGCGUAGAGAUCUGGAGGAAUACCGGUGGCGAAGGCGGCCCCCUGGACGAAGACUGACGCUCAGGUGCGAAAGCGUGGGGAGCAAACAGGAUUAGAUACCCCUGGUAGUCCACGCCGUAAACGAUGUCGACUUGGAGGUUGUGCCCUUGAGGCGUGGCUUCCGGAGCUAACGCGUUAAGUCGACCGCCUGGGGAGUACGGCCGCAAGGUUAGAACUCAAAUGAAUUGACGGGGGCCCGCACAAGCGGUGGAGCAUGUGGUUUAAUUCGAUGCAACGCGAAGAACCUUACCUGGUCUUGACAUCCACGGAAGUUUUCAGAGAUGAGAAUGUGCCUUCGGGAACCGUGAGACAGGUGCUGCAUGGCUGUCGUCAGCUCGUGUUGUGAAAUGUUGGGUUAAGUCCCGCAACGAGCGCAACCCUUAUCCUUUGUUGCCAGCGGUCCGGCCGGGAACUCAAAGGAGACUGCCAGUGAUAAACUGGAGGAAGGUGGGGGUGACGUCAAGUCAUCAUGGCCCUUACGACCAGGGCUACACACGUGCUACAAUGGCGCAUACAAAGAGAAGCGACCUCGCGAGAGCAAGCGGACCUCAUAAAGUGCGUCGUAGUCCGGAUUGGAGUCUGCAACUCGACUCCAUGAAGUCGGAAUCGCUAGUAAUCGUGGAUCAGAAUGCCACGGUGAAUACGUUCCCGGGCCUUGUACACACCGCCCGUCACACCAUGGGAGUGGGUUGCAAAAGAAGUAGGUAGCUUAACCUUCGGGAGGGCGCUUACCACUUUGUGAUUCAUGACUGGGGUGAAGUC
rnacentral:rRNA from 1 species